rnacentral:rRNA from 1 species
GUCGAGCGAGCGGAACCACAGAUUUACUUCGGUAAUGACGUUGGGAAAGCGAGCGGCGGAUGGGUGAGUAACACGUGGGGAACCUGCCCCUAAGUCUGGGAUACCAUUUGGAAACAGGUGCUAAUACCGGAUAAUAAAGCAGAUCGCAUGAUCAGCUUUUGAAAGGCGGCGUAAGCUGUCGCUAAGGGAUGGCCCCGCGGUGCAUUAGCUAGUUGGUAAGGUAACGGCUUACCAAGGCGACGAUGCAUAGCCGAGUUGAGAGACUGAUCGGCCACAUUGGGACUGAGACACGGCCCAAACUCCUACGGGAGGCAGCAGUAGGGAAUCUUCCACAAUGGACGCAAGUCUGAUGGAGCAACGCCGCGUGAGUGAAGAAGGUUUUCGGAUCGUAAAGCUCUGUUGUUGGUGAAGAAGGAUAGAGGUAGUAACUGGCCUUUAUUUGACGGUAAUCAACCAGAAAGUCACGGCUAACUACGUGCCAGCAGCCGCGGUAAUACGUAGGUGGCAAGCGUUGUCCGGAUUUAUUGGGCGUAAAGCGAGCGCAGGCGGAAAAAUAAGUCUAAUGUGAAAGCCCUCGGCUUAACCGAGGAACUGCAUCGGAAACUGUUUUUCUUGAGUGCAGAAGAGGAGAGUGGAACUCCAUGUGUAGCGGUGGAAUGCGUAGAUAUAUGGAAGAACACCAGUGGCGAAGGCGGCUCUCUGGUCUGCAACUGACGCUGAGGCUCGAAAGCAUGGGUAGCGAACAGGAUUAGAUACCCUGGUAGUCCAUGCCGUAAACGAUGAGUGCUAAGUGUUGGGAGGUUUCCGCCUCU